UACAGAGGUCUCAACCGUUGUUCGGAUUCAUUGGGCGUAAAGGGUGUGUAGGCGGCGGGGUAAGUCAGGUGUGAAAUCUCGGGGCUCAACCCCGAAACUGCACUUGAUACUGCCUCGCUUGAGUACUGGAGAGGAGACUGGAAUUUACGGUGUAGCAGUGAAAUGCGUAGAUAUCGUAAGGAAGACCAGUGGCGAAGGCGAGUCUCUGGACAGUUACUGACGCUGAGGCACGAAGGCCAGGGGAGCAAACGGG
rnacentral:rRNA from 1 species